AUACGGAGGAUCCGAGCGUUAUCCGGAUUUAUUGGGUUUAAAGGGUGCGCAGGCGGCCAUUUAAGUCAGCGGUUAAAUCGUGGGGCUCAACCCCAUUCUGCCGUUGAUACUGGGUGGCUUGAUUGCGGUCGAGGUUGGCGGAAUUCGUUGUGUAGCGGUGAAAUGCAUAGAUAUGACGAAGAACACCGAUUGCGUAGGCAGCUGACCAGACCGCAAAUGACGCUCAUGCACGAAAGUGCGGGGGAUCGAACAGGAUUAGAUACCCUGGUAGUCCGCACAGUAAACGAUGAAUACUUGUUUUCGGCGAUAUAAUGUCGGAGGCAAAGCGAAAGCGAUAAGUAUUCCACCUGGGGAGUACGCCGGCAACGGUGAAACUCAAAGGAAUUGACGGGG
rnacentral:rRNA from 1 species